rnacentral:lncRNA from 1 species
AUGGCCGAAGCCAACAUCGAUGCGGUGCUGGCGGCGCAGGAUCGCUUCGACCGGAUUUGCGCCUGCGCCGACAAUGCGAAGCCUGCGGACGUGGUGAAGAAGUGGGUGCUGAUCGAUGCCGAGGGUCUCGUCGUCGGCCGUCUCGCCUCCAUCGUCGCCAACAUCCUCCGCGGCAAGAAACAGCCCACCUUCACGCCCCAUGUCGACGAUGGCGACAAC